GUCAGAAGAGAGAAUGCAGCUCUAACACAUGAAGCAUAGACUUCUAUACAACCAGAGGAGUCUCCCCCUGGUGGUCAGGAGAGAGAAUGCAGCUUUAACACAUGAAGCAUAGACUUCUAUACAACCAGAGGAGUCUCCCCCUGGUGGUCAGGAGAGAGAAUGCUGCUUCAACACAUGAAGUAUAGACUUCUAUACAACCAGAGAAGUAGCCCCUGGUGGUCAGGAGAGCGAAUGCAGCUUUAACACAUGAAGCAUAGACUUCUAUACAACCAGAGGAGGCGCCCCCUGGUGGUCAGAAGAGAGAAUGCAGCUCUAACACAUGAAGCAUAGACUUCUAUACAACCAGAGGAGUCGCCCCCUGGUGGUUAGAAGAGAGAAUGCAGCUCUAACACAUGAAGCAGAGACUUCUAUACAACCAUGACGCUCGUCCCAUUGUUUCUGGGUAAACAACUCUCCAGUGUUUUCGUGAUGAGGUCGUCCCUCGCGGUUGACAGCCAAUCAGGUGGUUAUUGGCGCUCCUCGGCCCCGGGCUCCGUCUGACAGGCUCCUGGCCUCCAGAAGACCCUCUGAGGCUCCGGCUCUAAUCGAUGCGAUUAUAGGAGUGAUUAUUAUGGGAUGUCCGAGCGUCGCGUCGCUGCAGCUUUUGUAGACGUAGACGACCUUUUUACAGCUGAUAGAUGUUCAGAGUUUACAGUUGAAACAGAAACGGAUGAACCCGGCAGCAGCAGCAGCCAUUGUUACACAACACCAAGGCUGUGUCUACUACCGCGCACUUGAGCACUUGAGCUGACUUUCAGUGUUCGAAGUGUGCCACUGAAAAAACCAGCAGAAUUCAGUGCACUGAAAGUACCCGGAUGGCGCUCUGCAAACGGGUAAAACAUGUCGUGUAAAACGAUGGACACUACUCGCACUAAGCGGCCGCCAUCUUGGCGACGUAGCGGAAGAGGAGGAGCCCUUUCGCCAGCUUUUCAUUUUAUUUCUAAAACAAUGGCGGACAGCACAAGCGGUAGACCACGAAGCUACAGACCGUAAAUAGACGUUUCCUGGAGGUGCUGGUGCUGGUCCUCUGCUGCCCUCCCGACAUCUGGCUCCAAUGACCUCUGGCACCUCACAUCCACCUCCAGGGCCUUUAAGAAGAUGGACCGCCAUCGCGUCUUCAGUAUCCCGAAGGACCUCUCCACAACACACCUGGCCUUUGACAGGCAGCAGUUGUAGCUUGGAGGUGGACAGGCUGCCUGAAGGGGGUCAUGAGGCAGAUGGGUUGGGACAGGCAGGGAUAGCCACCAUCCCCAAGGAUACAGUAUCCUGGUGGAGGGGAUGACUGCUCAUAGAAGAUGGGGCUGUUAUUCAGGACCCUGGCAUCAUGCACUGAGCCCGGGGCCUGUCGAAGGCCCUGGCCACCACCCGAUAGGAGGUGGCGCUGGCAAGCCAAAAAAUACAAACUAGACAGGAGAUCUCGGGGCCCCAACCGUGGUCAGUCAGUGCCCAGCACAGCCAUGAGGGCGUUGAAUGACUCGGGUGAGCCUGAAGUCCACCCUCAUGUCACUGUGGCCAUCACAACACAACGCCAGCAGUGGCAUUGCAGCAUUGAUACGGCAGCGCCGCCUGGGACUGGGUGGCUGCUGUAGAGUGUGGGGAGGGGAGGGGAGGGGAAGAUUAUAUUAAUAUGUAAGUCAUUUUAUCAAUAAAAUGUUGUCAUUGC